CCUACGGGAGGCAGCAGUAAGGAAUAUUGGUCAAUGGGCGCAAGCCUGAACCAGCCAUGCCGCGUGAAGGAUGACGGCCCUAUGGGUUGUAAACUUCUUUUGUACGGGAAUAAACCCAGGUACGUGUACCUGGCUGAAUGUACCGUAAGGAUAAGGAUCGGCUAACUCCGUGCCAGCAGCCGCGGUAAUACGGAGGAUCCAAGCGUUAUCCGGAUUCAUUGGGUUUAAAGGGUGCGUAGGCGGACUUAUAAGUCAGUGGUGAAAUCCUGCAGCUUAACUGCAGAACUGCCAUUGAUACUGUAAGUCUUGAGUGUGUUUGAAGUGGGCGGAAUGUGUCAUGUAGCGGUGAAAUGCUUAGAUAUGACACAGAACACCGAUUGCGUAGGCAGCUCACUAAACCACAACUGACGCUGAGGCACGACAGCGUGGGGAUCAAACAGGAUUAGAUACCCUGGUAGUCCACGCCGUAAACCUAUGAUUACUCGAUGUUGGCGAUAUACAGUCAGCGUCUAAGCUAAAGCGUUAAGUAAUCCACCUGGGGAGUUACGGUGCAAGAUUGAACUUCAAGGAAUUGACGG
rnacentral:rRNA from 1 species